CGCGGCCUAUCAGCUUGUUGGUGAGGUAACGGCUCACCAAGGCUCCGACGGGUAGCUGGUCUGAGAGGACGAUCAGCCACACUGGGACUGAGACACGGCCCAGACUCCUACGGGAGGCAGCAGCAGGGAAUUUUGCACAAUGAGCGAAAGCUUGAUGCAGCGACGCCGCGUGCGGGAUGAAUGCCUUCGGGUUGUAAACCGCUUUCAGGAGGGACGAAGCGAAAGUGACGGUACCUUCAGAAGAAGCCCCGGCCAACUACGUGCCAGCAGCCGCGGUAAUACGUAGGGGGCGAACGUUGUCCGGAUUUAUUGGGCGUAAAGAGCUCGUAGGCGGCUCAGCAAGUCGGCCGUGAAAACCCGGGGCUCAACCCCGGGACGCCGGUCGAAACUGCUGUGGCUAGGGUUCGGUAGAGGAGAGUGGAAUUCCCGGUGUAGCGGUGAAAUGCGCAGAUAUCGGGAGGAACACCAGUAGCGAAGGCGGCUCUCUGGGCCGAUACCGACGCUGAGGAGCGAAAGCUAGGGGAGCAAACAGGAUUAGAUACCCUGGUAGUCCUAGCUGUAAACGUUGGGCACUAGGUGUGGCGGACUCAUUGACGUCUGCCGUGCCGCAGCUAACGCAUUAAGUGCCCCGCCUGGGGAGUACGG
rnacentral:rRNA from 1 species